rnacentral:rRNA from 1 species
AACGAACGCUGGCGGCAGGCUUAACACAUGCAAGUCGAACCCCCCGCAAGGGGAGUGGCAGACGGGUGAGUAACGCGUGGGAACAUACCCUUUUCUACGGAAUAGCUCUGGGAAACUGGAAUUAAUACCGUAUACGCCCUACGGGGGAAAGAUUUAUCGGGGAAGGAUUGGCCCGCGUUGGAUUAGCUAGUUGGUGGGGUAAAGGCCUACCAAGGCGACGAUCCAUAGCUGGUCUGAGAGGAUGAUCAGCCACAUUGGGACUGAGACACGGCCCAAACUCCUACGGGAGGCAGCAGUGGGGAAUAUUGGACAAUGGGCGCAAGCCUGAUCCAGCCAUGCCGCGUGAGUGAUGAAGGCCUUAGGGUUGUAAAGCUCUUUCACCGAUGAAGAUAAUGACGGUAGUCGGAGAAGAAGCCCCGGCUAACUUCGUG